GAUUAAGUUAUUAAGGGCGCACGGUGGAUGCCUUGGCACUAGAAGCCGAUGAAGGACGUUACUAACGACGAUAUGCUUUGGGGAGCUGUAAGUAAG
rnacentral:rRNA from 1 species